GAGGUUAUAGCUUAGUGAUGGAGCACGUGCUUAGCACGCACAAGGUCCUGGGUCCAAUCCCCAGUGCCUCCA
rnacentral:tRNA from 1 species